rnacentral:tRNA from 1 species
GCUUGAAUGACCCUCGGUGGUACCGGGGUGCAGGCUUCAAACCUGUAGCCGACUGGCGUCGGAGCGGUUCAAUUCCGCCUUUCGAGCG